CAAUAAUUACUUUUUUUCAAUUUCAUUCAUACAUGUAUAAAAUAUUGCCUUUACAUGACAACUACAGUAAAUUCUUCAUGAUUGAAAUCAAAUAUUAAGUCAAAGUAACUUACAAAGUUUUGUUAUGAUAAAAAUACAAAAUGUUAAAAUGAAGGUGUGUUGUGUAUAUCUAAUUCCCUAAAAUAUGAACUAGUUGUUUUGUACAUAUAUAAAGUUUAUAUCAUGAAGACCUCAGAUAUCUAUAUCAACAGUUAAUAUAGGGAAAUUUAGAUAGGGAAAUUAGAUUUGUUGAAAUCAAGUAUAUGCUAAUUUUUACAUGUUAUUUUUUAGGCGACUACAGUCCUAAAAAUACUAAUACUAAUAUUAAAUGAGGCAAAGAAUAUCCAGGAGAUAGAUGAAUGUAUUAUUGUUUUAUUUCAAUAUAAAUACCAGCUGCUGUUAAAGAUACAUGUAUAUUCAACCUGUAUACUUGUCAAUUAAAAUUUAUAAUACAUAAAUAAAUACAUAUUUUUGAGUAAAUAUACAAUUAAAAGAAUUAGUUUAAACUAUUUUUAUUUUUAGUUUAACCAAUAACCCCAAUAACAAAUUCUAAGAUCUAUAAAUGAUAUAUUCAUUUAACCAUAUUUUAUCCAACCUAGUCAUUCAUGCCUCGUGUCUAAUGUUAUAUUCAUCUUACUCAAUAAAUGGUCAAUUCACUCACUUCUCACAACAGUAUAAGUAUCUAAAUGUGUCAAAUGAACUAAAAAUGAUAUGUGCAUUAAGUGUCAAAAGUUGUAUCAAUUUAUUAGAUAUAAUAAGAUGUGGUAUGAGUACUAAUGAGACAACUUUCCAUCCAAGUCACAAUUAAUAAAAUUAAAUUGUAUUUAACUUAGAUAGUUUGUUUUGUAUUGUUUUGAUUGCCAACAUUUCAGUUUAAGCAAUAGUUUUGUUGUUUUUGUUCAUAUUUUGGAAAACAGUUUUAAGUAAACAGUUCAAAAGUGGAACAAAACUUACAGAAUGAUAAAUGGUUAAGUUUUCAGUAUUUUUGUUGCCAAUGGGUAAUUACAAACAACCUUUUUAUGUAUUAUAAACUUUUCAUACCAAUUUUGUUCUACAUCAUAGUUUACAGCAGAAUGCAUUGAGUGUGUAGGUAACGGAAAUAUCUAUGGUUAACUUGCUUGCUAGCUGAACAGUGAAGUCAUUAUUAGGUUAGGUGAACUACCCUCUUUAAGAGUAGACUAGUCCGACAGAUAACCAAUCUAUCUGUCUCUAGGACUAGACUACUCCGAAAAAAGGGUAGUAUACCUAACCUAAUAAUUACUUCACAGUUCAGCUAACAAGCACGCCAACCAAAGAUUCUACCUUGACCUAAACAAUCAAUGCAUUGUGCGGUCAAGCCACAUUUGUUAUUAUUUUUCAUCAUUAAAUUAUUGUGAUGUCUAAAAUUUAAACAGCUUUGUGUCACAUCUGUUUUCAAUUUUUAUAUGUUACAUAUAAAAGAAAAUCACACUUGAUUAAAUAAAUUUAUGAAACAUUUUGCAUACAAUAAACUAUAUUGUACAUAAAUUGUAGAACUUUUAGUUCUUCAGAUAGAUAAUGUAAAAACAGCGUGGGAGAAUUUACAUAGUAAAAAUAAUCAUCCCAGUAACAAGCAGUAGAGGAUUUCAUUAUUAAUCAUAUAUGACAACUGUAUUUAAAACUACCACAAGUGUUUCACAGCAUUUAAGGGCAUAUGAUACAGUUUUGAACCUGUAUUUACAAGUUGAUGAAAAUUUGCAUAUAGGCUAUUUUUUACCUGAUGAUAUA
rnacentral:lncRNA from 1 species